GCUGUUUCUGUUAUCAUACAUAUAAUUUUGAUCUUUUGUCGAACUAAAGCCUUUCCAUGUCAAAUAGUUAAAGAAAGACCCUCUGUAGCAAAACGCAACAACUUGAACCACCAAAGAGAUGAAAUUCGUGAUGAUGGACAGGAUCUGGUCUACUCUGCAUUACAUUUUUCUGGAGGGAAGAAACCAAGAGGAACAAAGAAGAUG